UUGUGACACUUGGCAUCAUUUCAAAUUACUGAUAUCUUUCUGAGAGUCUUGCAGACCUUCUCAGCUGACUCAACCAAGUUAGGAUUAUCUAGAGACACAGCUACAUGGGAUCUGGAAAAUGAAUUAGCAGGCGGUGGCUUUCCAGCAUUGCAGGAGAGUACAUGAAGUAGAAUGGGCGUUUCAAGAGGAGGAAGAUCAGUAAUUUCUGCUUGUACUGAAAUGUGACCUUGGGUGCGGAAAGAUGGAGCUGUCUUUGCUCAAAUCCUGGCUCACAGAUUUACCAGCAGUGUGACCUCAAACAAACUUCACCCAGGAGGAUAAAGUUAUCAUCACUUCACCAAGAACCAUAUAGAGCUUUUGCCCAACAUGGCAAUGGGAUGACCUCCUCCAGCCAGUAAUACCACAGGAACAUGAUUAUGAACCCUACUCCCACGGUGUCCCUCAGCCCAGCACAGUGCCUGGUACUGAGGAGACCUAUUGGAUUUUCUAUGGGCAUUUGGAGAAGGUAUAGCCCCCAAAUUCCUGUGGCCCGCAUGACUUCUGUAUAUCCUGCCAUUUGGUUGCAGCAUGAGCCCUGAGGAGUGAUUCACUUGGCCUUUGAGGCAUCUUGCACUGUGUCAGCUGAGGUUGUGUCUUCCCUGCUAAAGCUGUGUCUGCAACUCUAGAAAAAUGCCAUAUAGUGGGUACAAUAAAGAAUGAAUGAAUGAAUGGUUA